UACAGCUAGUGACUGGUGGAAGUGGAAUUCAGAAUGUGAAAGUGGUUUAUAAAUCAGCCAGGGACCCUGACAGCUUGGACACUAGACUUCUCCGAGCCAUGGUAACAAAAGGCAUUAUUGAGCCAAUAUCCGAUACAAUCAUCAACCUUGUAAAUGCUGAUUUCAGUGCAAAGCAGAAGGGUCUUCGUAUUAGUGAAGAACGUGUUAUUGUUGAUUCGUCUCCAGAGUACCCUGUCGAGUCAAUCCAGGUUCAAAUUAGCAACGUGCAAUCAAGAUUUGCAAGUGCUUUAUCAGAGAAUGGUAAUAUCAGCAUCGAGGGGAAAGUGAAGUAUGGAGUUCCCCAUCUUACACGGGUUGGUUCAUUUAGCGUUGAUGUGAGCUUGGAGGGUAACCUCAUCCUUUGCAAACAAGUGGACCAACCUGGUAUGAUCGGGCAAGUUGGAAACAUACUUGGUGAGAGUAAUGUGAAUGUGAGCUUUAUG
rnacentral:lncRNA from 1 species